rnacentral:misc_RNA from 1 species
CGCACAUUGCGCCCUCUGGUAUUCCGGGGGGCACGCCUGUUCGAGCGUCAUUGAAUCAAUCAAGCCCCGCUUGGUAUUGGGCGGCUUCUUUCCUCGGAAGCCCCCGAAAUACAGCGGCUCGGUCGUACCGGAGAAGAACGAACUGGGAUUUUUCGAAUCGUCGUUCUCGUCUCUCGGGCGGCCGUCGCCGUCGAAACCGCAGCGCGGCUGUCGCCGGGCGCACUCUUUUAGAAUUGACCUCGGAUCAGGCGGGAAUACCCGCUGAACUUAA